UACGUAGGGGGCAAGCGUUGUCCGGAUUUAUUGGGCGUAAAGAGCGUGUAGGCGGCCAUGUAGGUCCGUUGUGAAAACUCGAGGCUCAACCUCGAGACGCCGAUGGAAACCAUGUGGCUAGAGUCCGGAAGAGGAGAGUGGAAUUCCUGGUGUAGCGGUGAAAUGCGCAGAUAUCAGGAGGAACACCGAUGGCGAAGGCAGCUCACUGGGACGGUACUGACGCUGAGACGCGAAAGCGUGGGGAGCAAACAGGAUUAGAUACCGGAG
rnacentral:rRNA from 1 species